rnacentral:rRNA from 1 species
GAUCAUUACCGAGUUCGUGCCCCGCAGCGGGGUAGAUCUCCCACCCUUGUGUAUCUUCGUACCGUUCUGUUGCUUUGGCAGGCCGCUCAGGCUUCGGCUCGACCACCGGCUCCCCCAGGGGGGCGGGUGUGCGCCUGCCAGAGGACCCCCCAACUCUUGUUUGUCAGUGUCGUCUGAGUACUAUAACCAAUCGUUAAAACUUUCAACAACGGAUCUCUUGGUUCUGGCAUCGAUGAAGAACGCAGCGAAAUGCGAUAAGUAAUGUGAAUUGCAGAAUUCAGUGAAUCAUCGAAUCUUUGAACGCACAUUGCGCCCCUUGGUAUUCCGAGGGGCAUGCCUGUUCGAGCGUCAUUUCAACCCCUCAAGCUCUGCUUGGUGUUGGGUCGCGCUGCUGCUCCGGCGGCGGGCCCUAAAAUCAGUUGGCGGUGCCGUCGCGGCUCCAAGCGUAGUAGCAUACCUCUCGCUCUGGAAACCCGGCGGUUGCCUGCCCCCUAAACCAGAUUAAAUUCUCACGGUUGACCUCGGAUCAGGUAGGGAUACCCGCUGAACUUAAGCAUAUCAAUAAGCGGAGGAAAAGAAACCAACAGGGAUUGCCUCAGUAACGGCGAGUGAAGCGGCAACAGCUCAAAUUUGAAAUCUGGCUCCCUCGGGGCCCGAGUUGUAAUUUGGAGAAGAUGCUUCGGGCGUGGCCCUGGCCUAAGUUCCUUGGAACAGGACGUCAUAGAGGGUGAGAAUCCCGUACGUGACCGGUGGCCUACGCUCAUGUGAAGCUCUUUCGACGAGUCGAGUUGUUUGGGAAUGCAGCUCUAAAUGGGUGGUAAAUUUCAUCUAAAGCUAAAUAUUGGCCAGAGACCGAUAGCGCACAAGUAGAGUGAUCGAAAGAUGAAAAGCACUUUGGAAAGAGAGUUAAACAGUACGUGAAAUUGUUGAAAGGGAAGCGCUUGCAACCAGACUUGCGCGUCGUCGAUCAUCUGGUGUUCUCACCGGUGCGCUCGGCGGCGCUCAGGCCAGCAUCAGUUUCGGUGGUUGGACAAAGGUCCUGGGAACGUGACUCCUUCCGGGGAGUGUUAUAGCCCAGGGCGCAAUACAGCCCACCGAGACG